UUGGAGGGCAAGUCUGGUGCCAGCAGCCGCGGUAAAUCCAGCUCCAAUAGCGUAUAUUAAAGUUGUUGCAGUUAAAAAGCUCGUAGUUGAAUUUCGGGGUUAGUAGGUUGGUCAUGCCUCUGGUAUGCACUGGCCUCACUGAUUCCUCCUUCCUGAUGAGCCGUAAUGCCAUUAAUUUGGUGUUGCGGGGAGUUUGGACUGUUACUUUGAAAAAAUUAGAGUGUUUAAAGCAAGCUAACGCUUGAAUACAUUAGCAUGGAAUAAUGAAAUAGGACGUUCGAUCCUAUUUUGUCGGUUUCUAGGAUUGACGUAAUGAUUAAUAGGGAUAGUUGGGGGCAUUAGUAUUCAAUUGUCAGAGGUGAAAUUCUUGGAUUUAUUGAAGACUAACUACUGCGAAAGCAUUUGCCAAGGAUGUUUUCAUUAAUCAAGAACGAAAGUUAGGGGAUCGAAGACGAUCAGAUACCGUCGUAGUCUUAACCAUAAACUAUGCCGACUAGGGAUCGGAUGAUGUUAAUUUUUUAAUGACUCAUUCGGCGCCUUACGGGAAAC
rnacentral:rRNA from 1 species